rnacentral:rRNA from 2 species
AACUGAUUAGAAGCUUGCUUCUAUGACGUUAGCGGCGGACGGGUGAGUAACACGUGGGCAACCUGCCUGUAAGACUGGGAUAACUUCGGGAAACCGAAGCUAAUACCGGAUAGGAUCUUCUCCUUCAUGGGAGAUGAUUGAAAGAUGGUUUCGGCUAUCACUUACAGAUGGGCCCGCGGUGCAUUAGCUAGUUGGUGAGGUAACGGCUCACCAAGGCAACGAUGCAUAGCCGACCUGAGAGGGUGAUCGGCCACACUGGGACUGAGACACGGCCCAGACUCCUACGGGAGGCAGCAGUAGGGAAUCUUCCGCAAUGGACGAAAGUCUGACGGAGCAACGCCGCGUGAGUGAUGAAGGCUUUCGGGUCGUAAAACUCUGUUGUUAGGGAAGAACAAGUAGGAGAGUAACUGCUCGUACCUUGACGGUACCUAACCAGAAAGCCACGGCUAACUACGUGCCAGCAGCCGCGGUAAUACGUAGGUGGCAAGCGUUAUCCGGAAUUAUUGGGCGUAAAGCGCGCGCAGGCGGUUUCUUAAGUCUGAUGUGAAAGCCCACGGCUCAACCGUGGAGGGUCAUUGGAAACUGGGGAACUUGAGUGCAGAAGAGAAAAGCGGAAUUCCACGUGUAGCGGUGAAAUGCGUAGAGAUGUGGAGGAACACCAGUGGCGAAGGCGGCUUUUUGGUCUGUAACUGACGCUGAGGCGCGAAAGCGUGGGGAGCAAACAGGAUUAGAUACCC